AUUAUAAUAACUGUGCUAAAAUGGCUGUUUUUCUUUUCUUUCUCCUGUCUCUGUUUGCCUGUGUCAAAAGUGACUGAGUGAGUAACUGCCAGUUGAGACAGCUACCCUAAACUUCUAUAAUCUUUGAUCAUAAGUGACUAAGGCAGAAACUCAAUAUAGGAGUCACUGUACAAUCAACAGGAGAACUAGAGCAACUUAUACAACUGGAUACUCUACAGAUAAAGCCAUAUGCUACAGCAGAGAACAACAGAAGAGUGAAGACAAGAGAGGCUACCAUUCUUGGCUUGAACACCACAAGUAUGCAUCUGUUAUCACAGUAAUACAAUCAAACCUAUGAAAUCACUUCUUCUACGGAAGAAGUCAUGCAAGUUUACAACUGGUAUUAACAUUAAUUAUUGUUAUUGAAGUGAUUCAAGGAAUGAUGUAUCAUGGUAAAAAUGGGAUUACUAACAACUAUCUAGAUAUAAUAUUAACAAUUGUUUUAGUUCUUUGUCCAUAAUUAUAUCUAGCUAGCAUUGACACACAA